AUGUUUCAUGUCAAUCUCAUUUCUGGUUGAAUUUAACACUUAAUACAUGAAACUUAGUUUAGUAUUUUUAUCAACUUUUUUCCUCCAGCAAGAAGCAAGUGAACAAUUGCUCUAGUUUCAGAAGUAGGGUAUGCCAUUUUGGACAAUAAACUGGCAUGUCUACUUGCACUUUUAAAACCUGACUCCUGGCUUCAGGUUUGGAGCUUUGGAUUCCUUACUGAAAUUACAAUAUAGAGUUUGGAGCUUCUAAUUGUUGCGACUGUUAAUUAAGAAAACAAGUAAUAGACCUUUAUAUGUCCUGCUAAAGUCGAACAACCAAUCAAUGUUCAUCUAACGCAAGCAAGUGAAUCCUAAGAAUUUCGAGAUGAAAUCAACACAACUUCAAUGGUGUGAUGUCUAGCUUAUGUCAUUUCUGCAGUAGCUUGUGAUCAAUCAGUUUCUAUGGUGGAUCAAAGAAAGUAAAAAUCUCUAAAACUUAUUUCUUGAACUUUAGAGAUCAGGAGGUGCUCUGCUUAUAAAUUUUGAAAGAGAAGGCUUGCUGGAUCUGAUAAGUUCAAGGCCAUUACCAAAUCAACAAAAAGUUCUCACAUCCCUUAAAAAGAAAGAAAAGGGAAGACAGGGCAAGAAAUCUCUUGAAGCAAAUGGAUGAGAUUGAAAAACAUUACAUCACUGCAGAAAUUUGUCAGUUGUAAUUGUACUCUUGUAUCAAUUGUUUCACGUAUUUUUACAACUGUGUCAAUUUCAUAUUUUAUUUUUCUUUGUUUUGCAGGUGAUCUAGCUGUAGGGUUGGAAAAUUAAGUUCACUA